AUUCCUUCUUUUCAUUCAACGGAGUCUCGAGCACAGACCGAAAUCUUCAUCGUGGAAAUUUAAAUCAAUCACGAACUCCUUUUCGAGGAGGAAAGUUUAACUCUUUCCUACUUUAACAUGAGAGCCAAGUGGCGUAAGAAGCGCAUGCGAAGGCUAAAGCGCAAAAGGAGGAAGAUGCGUGCGAGGUCCAAGUAAAAUGGUACACAUAUGUGGACUUAGUUAUAAGCUAAUGCUGCUAGUGUAUCAAUAAAACACAAAAAAAUCA